ACAGUUAUACUUUCUAUGAUGGUCAUGGAAAGUAUUAUUACAUCGACUCUCCUUGCAGGACUGUUUUCUCUUUGUCUCUGUGUGCAUCAGCGUCCAUACGUCUUUUUUGACACUCCAAAAAGCUGGACGGAGGCACAGAGCUACUGCAGAGAAAACUGCAACGACCUAGCAACCAUGACAGAUAUGAAAGACAUGGAUAUGGUUCUGGAAAUGAUUGGACAGAACUACAGUGAUGCCAUUUGGAUUGGGCUCCACAUGGGGAGCAAAAGCAGCUGGCACUGGUCUCUUGCAGACAAGAAUUUCUACAAGGAGGGAGAACAAAAUUAUUUUAAAUUGCGCUCCCCAGUAGGUGAUAUUAACUGUGUAAAUUACGAAAACGGAGAACUGGAUAUUUCGCCUUGUAUAUUUGAUAGGUAUUCAGUGUGUUUUGAUGG